UACGUAGGUGGCAAGCGUUGUCCGGAUUUACUGGGCGUAAAGAGCGCGCAGGCGGUCGUCCAAGUCGCGUGUGAAAGCCCCCGGCUCAACUGGGGAGGGUCACGCGAUACUGGUCGACUCGAAGGCAGGAGAGGGUAGUGGAAUUCCCGGUGUAGUGGUGAAAUGCGUAGAUAUCGGGGAGGAACACCGGUGGCGAAGGCGGGUCUCUGGACAGUUCCUGACACUGAGGCACGAAGGCCAGGGGAGCAAACGGG
rnacentral:rRNA from 1 species